GAUGAACGCUGGCGGCGUGCCUAAUACAUGCAAGUCGAGCGAACAGACGAGGAGCUUGCUCCUCUGACGUUAGCGGCGGACGGGUGAGUAACACGUGGAUAACCUACCUAUAAGACUGGGAUAACUUCGGGAAACCGGAGCUAAUACCGGAUAAUAUAUUGAACCGCAUGGUUCAAUAGUGAAAGACGGUUUUGCUGUCACUUAUAGCUGGAUCCGCGCCCCAUUAGCUAGUUGGUAAGGUAACGGCUUACCAAGGCAACGAUGCGUAGCCGACCUGAGAGGGUGAUCGGCCACACUGGAACGGAGACACGGUCCAGACUCCUACGGGAGGCAGCAGUAGGGAAUCUGCCGCAAUGGGCGAAAGCCUGACGGAGCAACGCCGCGUGAGUGAUGAAGGUCUUCGGAUCGUAAAACUCUGUUAUUGGGGAAGAACAAAUGUGGAAGUAACUAGGCACGUCUGGACGGUACCUAAUCAGAAAGCCACGGCUAACUACGUG
rnacentral:rRNA from 1 species